UGGUCAAACGAUCCAAAUUGAAUAUUAAAAGGAUUAACAUUUAUAACACAAAAUUCCUCCGCUGAUUCCUUCGAGUCGAGCCUCUCCAUCUGUCAUUAUAUCUCAAGAAGUAGAAAGAAUUACAACCCCAACCCAUCUAAAAUUCUAGGAAUUCAUUGAGAGCUCGAAUAGAUUUGUAGACUGGGUCUACAGAUCCAUUUUAAAUUUAAAAAAUUUCUAUAGGGUCUUUUCCUAUUCCUUCUAUGCAGCAGGUUUAAAACCAAAAAAGACCUAUUUUUUCGCGUUAUUUGAAUUAUUGUAAUUC
rnacentral:lncRNA from 1 species